rnacentral:rRNA from 1 species
CCUACGGGCGGCAGCAGUCGAGAAUCAUUCACAAUGGGGGAAACCCUGAUGGUGCGACGCCGCGUGGGGGAUUGAAGGUCUUCGGAUUGUAAACCCCUGUUAUGUGGGAGCAAAUUAAAAAGAUAGUACCAUAAGAGGAAGAGACGGCUAACUCUGUGCCAGCAGCCGCGGUAAUACAGAGGUCUCAAGCGUUGUUCGGAAUCACUGAGCGUAAAGCGUGCGUAGGCUGUUUCGUAAGUCGUGUGUGAAAGGCGCGGCCUCAACACGCGGACGACACAUGAUACUGCGAGACUAGAGUAAUGGAGGGGGAACCGGAAUUCUCGGUGUAGCAGUGAAAUGCGUAGAUAUCAAGAGGAACACUCAUGGCGAAGGCGGGUUCCUGGACAUUCACUGACGCUGAGGCACGAAGGCGAGGGGAGCGAAAGGGAUUAGAUACCCGAGUAGUC